rnacentral:lncRNA from 1 species
GGCAAAUGGCCUUUCCACUGAAAACUUGAUAGGGGCGGAGGUUGACAUACGCAUACAAGGGGCUGUCGAGGCUUACUUACUAAUAAGUAGUAAAUGUAUCUCUAUUCAAUGUAAUAAGUCGUAAAUGUAUCUCUAUUCAAUGGGGGAUUGGUUUGAAUCCUUCCUUAGUUAAGGAUAUCAGAGCAUAAAGACGGAAGCAAAUCAGUAUAUCACUGGAAUACUAGAAAUCGGGUAAGGUCAAAUCCUUAUAUCACUGGAAUACUAUAAAUGGGGUAUGGAUUCAGAAGUAAUUGCUUUCUAAAGGAUUCUCUUGAGCCUCGCCCUUUAUUGACUCUAUAAAGCACUGGAAGGCUGGACGGACUAAAGCACUGCGCUAUCCUGCUAGCAUAACAGGUAAAAGUGUAGUAGCGUCGGCUUUGUUAAUAGGCUUGAAACUAGAAAAAGAAUAGUAAGGUGGUUAGGGCUUGAAACCAACGGGCUAACAGACUAUCGCACUAAAGGUAAUCAUGCUUCUGGUGGAAACUGGAACCAGGAACCGAGCGUACUAUAAGAAAGCUAAGGCUAUCCCGUGGGUGUGUAAAACAUUUCAAUCUCCUUGCAAUGAAUGGGAAAGAAAAAGAAGAAAGAGAGAAACUCUUCGCUAACGCCCCUGGAACUAAUCCUCGGAGAUACGGGAAAGCAGGAAUAACUCCAGCAAGCUUCCUACUGUAUUUGAUAUUGGCUUUCGUUAUUACGAAGAUAGAAAAUUCCUAACCCGAUUGAUUGACCCUUUCUCCUUUCCAGAGUUAUGCUCCCCGCACGCACGCCCGAUUCAGUGGUGAGUCUAAAGAAAGGUAAAGAUCGCCUUCACAAUACUAAGAGCCCUUCCUUUAUUACGCAGGGAGGAUGAAUUGACCAACUCGACAAGCUCUCCUAAUAUGAUGGUCUUAGAAGCGUCUUUAAUCUAAUAGGGGUAAAGAAAAGAUCGGGACUAUUGCCUUCACUACCUGCCUUCCACCAAAUAAUUCCUAUCACUAUACAAGACGGUGAUGAUUUGAUGCAAUUUUGGCUCGGCUUUCUCUUAGUACAUGUGCCCGAUGGCCCUUUUCGGUACUUUGGGGAGUCAGGCUAUUAUGAUGUCAUAUUCUGGAUUUGUUUUAGAGCUAAUAGGAGAUGAGAUCAUGUAAGUAAGUCUUUGAAGCUAAUAGGAGAUGAGAUCAUGUAAGUCUUUUCACAAUAUUAGCCAUAAGCCCACUUUUCCAAGGCUAUAUAUUUGCCACAGAGAAAACUAAGUAGAGUUUUGAACGUCUGCUGUAGCUCUAGUUGUGGGGGGCUAGCUGGGGCUUUGGAUUGCUUUUCUCUCCUUAACGGCUAGCCUAUGUGCGAUAUGCUUGUUUGCUUGUUUGCGCUAACUUCGUUUCUGUUGCUUGUUCAUGGCCUUACAUAGGUCUCAACUCUCCAUUGACUUUAUACAUGCAUCGGCCCUUGAAUUGACAACGUUCUCUUUCCCAGCCAGCAUUCAUCAUUAUGAGUGAGCGAGAUACUUUUCGUUCUUGUGGUAUACAGCUUUCAGGGGCGAGGGAAUGCGUGAGAUAAAUGGCUUCAUCUGCGAGCAAUCAUUCUUUCCUAGAUAAGAAGAGAUACCAUCGCCGAAUAAAUGAAAUGGGUUUAGCUUAUUGAUUGAAAAUGACCUCCUCCAGAUGCACAUAGAAAGGAAGAGAGAUUGCUUAUGUCUCAGUCGCCCCGCUCUCACUUGGCUCUCCCCUCCCCUUGACUUCUGUCGUCGGACUACGCGCACUGGAUCGGUUUCGGACUACGCGCACUGGAUCGGUUUUAGAUAAUAGAUGGAGAAUUCCGCCGCUGAAAGAUCACUUAAUCACACACAAGCAAGAUUCUAUUUGACCGGUGAGAAGAACUGGGACUUUAUGCUAAAAGAAGCGAGAACACACUCGUUAGAAGUUAGGAAUCAGGGCUCUAUUCUUAUGACGGAGUGCUUGAAUGGGAAGAGUGUUUUUUGUUAGGUUUAGGCCUUCCAGUGUCGAGUGGCAUUGUAGCAAAUUCCUAUAUAGAAGACAGAAUGAUCAACUGCAAGCAUUGUAUAGAACAAAAAGAAGCAACAAAGAGCUCCAUUAUGACUUGAGAGCACAUGGUAUAUAAGUAACAUUGAAUUGAGUAUUUUGUAUAGAAACUCGACGGGUAAUCAGACUUCAUUCUAUACUAGAGCUCCACGGGGUGUAGUUGUUUGUUCUUGUUGCCGGGGUGCGUUAGGAGUGCGCGCAAAAGCUAUUGGAGCUGCUCCAGUAGAAGAAUCAUUCUUUAUACUGGGUAAAGUGAGGCAGUUGGGAUGAUCCGCUACCCCGUCUUGUCUUCAUCUUCUUUCCUUUCCUUUCCAUCGAUUCCUGGAUUGCCUUCAUUCAUUCUGCUCGUGAAGAACACCUCCGCUCCUAUUGCUAAAGUUUUCCCACACCACACACAUAAUCCAUUAAUAUAUGGGUUUCAUAAACAAAGUCAAAAAGAUCAAUAAAUCAGUGGUUGAGUCAAGAUUCUUCUUUCUUUGUCGAGACAAGAACCCGACUUUCCUUAGGGGUUGCAUUUCACGAAAACUUUCCAUGUAAAUAAAUAUCUAAGCCAAUGGGGGCGGGCCCCUUUAGAUUACUUUACUUAUAGAUUUGUUCCAUUUCCAGAAUGAAUGAAGAAAGUACAAUUCUCAUAUGAUAGUGUAUAGGAAGCAAAACCUCAUCUCAUGUCUUUCUUUUGACAAAGAAUGCUUUAAAACAUCUGCGGCUUCCCCCUAAUCUCAUAGUGUAUCCUAUUUCCUUUCCAGCGCCCUAAAUCACAGGCUGGGCUCUUUCAUUCUUUGACAGUUGAGUGGGAUUUCCCAUAAUCCAUUGAUUGGGCCCGAAAUGUGUGGGGAGCUUGGCUCGCUCGUUUUAGUGUAAAUAUCAAUCUCCCUUGAAUGGAACCAGAGCCAGUUGGGGUAUAUAGCCGUCAGGUGUUUUUGGCUUCAUCCGAACCACGUGAUCUCUCUUCGUUCUUUUUUCCUAGAAAGAACCUGAUGUGUGUGAUCUAAAGCAGAAGAAUUGACAAGCAGAAGACAUCGGUCGUUAGGGAAUUUCUCUUUCUUUCGUUCUGGAGGCUUAUGAAAUAAUAGCUAGCUUCGUCCCACCGAGAAAAGAUUGUUUGAAGUUCGAAUUCCUAGUGAUUGAAUUGUGCUUCACUUUGGAAGAAUUCCCGACCUUUGAGAUGAAAUCAGAAACGACUUUCGAAAGAGGAAUCCCCGGCUCUUGUAAGGAGACCCGUCCACUUGAGCCUGAAGCUGCUUCUCGCAUUCAAAGGCAUGAUCAAAUAAAGAGGGCUGGGCUCUCGAUGUCUGAAAGAACCUAUGCACUUUAUCCUAGGCUCGGAAAGAUCCCACAUCUGGUUAACUGCUUUAGGAGUGAGUGCCGGUGUAAGGCUUUUUCCCCCACCACGCCCUUGCAAUGUAUCCUUUGAUGAAAUGUUGCUUUUUCAUAUCAUACAAUUUAGUGUUAAGAGAUUCUCUGCUCCUAACUGUCCCAAGGGGCCGAGCCAUAUGUUUCUAAGGAUGUUCUUGUGUAAAGUUCGUAGGCCAAGACAAUAGAACAUUUCUUGUGGUCGGGCAUACAAUAGAACGGUCGUACAUCCGUCCAUUUAGGUUUUCCACUUUAUCCACAACACAUGUGUGGUACCCUUUUUCAAAGCAAGAGCGCCUCGAGGGCGGGACAAAGCAUCUCCCCAGAGGGUGACUGCGAUAUUGGCCUGCAUCAACUAUUUGUUUGGCCUUCUAUCCUUCCCGACCAUGACAAGGGCCAGUGCCGCUGGAGAUAAAGGAUUUGCUGGACUUUUCUCUCUUGAAGCGGGGAGCUGCUUAGAGCCAAUUGCACAUUCCGAUCUAGGUAACGAACGAGGUUUUUCCUUAGCGUCCACUCAACCAAGCUGAUCUGUACGCCUAUGUGAUCGAUCAAAUCAUUCUGAGGUAGCAUCAGGUGUGCAGCCGGAGCUCAACAAUCUCAGCGGAUAAUGCCAAUGCUUUUCCGAUAUGUAGUGCAGAGAUAGACGAAAGAAGUUGUGUCACCUGUAGCCACCCUUACUAAUAGUAUACUUUCACAAAUAAGAAAGAUUGACCCGCUAACCGCUUCCUUACUUCGAUCUCCCUCGAGUACCAUAACCAAGAUAAUCAAAGAAAUCCCAGCCCAGGGCCAAGUAACGAC